rnacentral:misc_RNA from 1 species
GAAAGAACUUGAAGACGGUGGUUGAUCAGUAGAUUUUAUGUCGGCUUUGUUCAUAUUGGCAGUGAUUGGGGCUCUGUUGAAGCUCUGGUUUUCUUCUUCUCUCUGCUGCUUCUGGCAGAGGUUGAUUCAAGUGCAACAAUCCUAUUCAAUGCGUUUGAGGUUAAAAAGGACUUGUUCUGGAGUAAAGUUCUCUUGGGCUUUUCGUAUAAAACGAUUUCUACUUCGUUUCUAUACCUUACACUUGAGUUGUUGUGAUUC